UAAAGAAUGACCAGGCAAUACUCUUUGAAAAUUGGAGACCAUUUGCAGCUGCUCUCUGCUGAGGAAAGUGAAUAAUAGGGUGCCCUCAAGGAAUUUCAAAGCACCACCACUUGAGUGGAAGCAGGAGCGCUGGAGAAGCCAGAGCCAAACAUGAGUCUCUUCUAGCAAUCACAGGCCACGGUGAACUGUGAAUCUUUGAAGGAUGGAAUUUGGCUCACCAAACCUCCCAGUCCUGGAAUAAUGACUGCCCUAAGAAGAAGAGAAGGAAGGGAGAGUCAUUAAAGUGAGUGGUGAUCUUUCAAUUGGCUUGUGUGUGUUAUGGUCUGUUUUAAACAAAGCCAAUGAAUCCUAAUGUCUGAACUGCAGUGAUACUUACAUGACUGAAAGGACCUAGCUUAUGUACAGAGCUUACUUUUUUCAAACAUUACACAUUAUCCUUAAUCUGUUUCUCAGGAAAGAGAGGAGGAAAUCUCCAGCAUUUAUUAAAUUACUAAAUAGGGUAACGUUGUCUCCCUUCUGAGGGCUGCUAACUACUUAUCCUUGUUUGCUGAGCACAAGUUGAUGGCUUAUGACCACAGGACACAAUUUAAUAGAUUGAACUGUGUCAGUCACCACGGUAACUAUGCCAAGUAGAGCUUCCUCCUUACUUUCUCACUGAGAGCUCUGCUUUAAUUUCUUUUUAUAUGAAGGACCUGUAAAAGCUGGAAAACAGUUUGGAUUCUGUUGGUUUUAUUUGUAUUUCUUACGUAAUCACAAUAUCCCUCAAAACAGCUGUUUAUUGUCAACUGCAAUACAUCCACAUUUUUAACCAAAUGGAAUUGCUUGUAAACUGGCUUGCACUUGUUGAUAAAUAAUUGUAUGUCACAUUUGUCUGAUCAGGUAAAGAUUCAGCAAAAAAAUUUUGUCUGAAGGGAAAAAACAAAUAACACUCUUGAACGAAUCCAAGAUUUGCUAUAAAUACACAGGUAUCAUUAAUGUGGUGCAAAUCACAGUAUUUAUAUGUCUACAUACUUGGAAGCUUAGUGUAAAAUAAGUUGAGAUGGAACUAUGAAGGUUGGUGAAAAAUGGUUGAAGUGGGAAUUUAUCAUAGGGGUGACAUUUUAGGUGGACCAUUUUCAUUAUUUCAAAUCAAACUGAACAUCAAAUUGCAAUUUCUAAUGUCUUCUAUUUGCACAACUGCUCUGCUAGACACACAAAAUUGGUGUGUACACUGUGCUGACAGUAAACUGAGGCAUAAUGAGAUGCUGGAAAGUUGUCUGCAUUCUUAAAGGAGGCCUUAAAGCAAUAACUUCGGAGGGAUAGAGUACUGCUCCUUCUUUUUUCCCAUAAAGAGAGACCAUAAGAACUCAAACCCCUAUUCCUCAGCGCAGAGCUGUCUCGUUUCUAAGAUGAGUAAAUAUUUUAUAAUCAGAGUGUAACACCAAUAGUCUUACUUAUGUUGGUUAGCACAUAAUCUCAAGUACUGUCAUACUGGAUGUAAAGAGAUAGCCUACAGAACAUGAGGUAAGACUAUCAGAUUCUGGUCUGUAACAUUUCCUAGCCUGUAAUCCUCCUUUUGAGAAGCACAUGCUUGUACUUGAGAUUUGUAUGUGAAUGCAGAAAGUAAGUUACAAAUUGCUUAUAGAUUCUGCUUUUGAUCCAUCGAAAAAUGGCUGACCUUUGAGUCCUGAACUUGUAUUACUGAUAUGGUUAAUGUCUGUUUUUGAGCAUACACCACUAGAUCCGUAGGUAAUUCCUAGAUUCCUUGCAACACAGUCUGCAUUUGCAAACUCUGUUCUGUUUUCUACAUGGUGAUGAUACAAGAGUGUUUGCAGUGUGCUCUGCUGAAGCUGGCAGCAAUACGGUAGCAUUGUAAACCAAUGAUCAGCAGAGAAAACCUUUAUUAGCCUCAUUCCCUCAAAAGAGGAAACCACAAUAAAAGGCUAAAAACCUCCAGUUCCUUUACGAUGCCAACAUCUGCAUCGUUUUAGUAAGA